CUAGUGGGUGGGGUAAUGGCCUACCAAGGCGACGACGGGUAGCCGGCCUGAGAGGGCGACCGGCCACACUGGGACUGAGACACGGCCCAGACUCCUACGGGAGGCAGCAGUGGGGAAUAUUGCGCAAUGGGCGAAAGCCUGACGCAGCGACGCCGCGUGAGGGAUGAAGGCCUUCGGGUUGUAAACCUCUUUCAGCAGGGACGAAGCGAAAGUGACGGUACCUGCAGAAGAAGCACCGGCUAACUACGUGCCAGCAGCCGCGGUAAUACGUAGGGUGCAAGCGUUGUCCGGAUUUAUUGGGCGUAAAGAGCUCGUAGGCGGUUUGUCGCGUCGGAUGUGAAAUCCCAGGGCUCAACCCUGGGCCUGCAUUCGAUACGGGCAGACUAGAGUAUGGCAGGGGAGACUGGAAUUCCUGGUGUAGCGGUGAAAUGCGCAGAUAUCAGGAGGAACACCGGUGGCGAAGGCGGGUCUCUGGGCCAAAACUGACGCUGAGGAGCGAAAGCGUGGGGAGCGAACAGGAUUAGAUACCCUGGUAGUCCACGCCGUAAACGUUGGGCGCUAGGUGUAGGGGACCUUCCACGUCCUCUGUGCCGCAGCUAACGCAUUAAGCGCCCCGCCUGGGGAGUACGGCCGCAAGGCUAAAACUCAAAGGAAUUGACG
rnacentral:rRNA from 1 species